UACGAAGGGUGCAAGCGUUAAUCGGAAUUACUGGGCGUAAAGCGUGCGUAGGCGGUUUGUUAAGUCUGCUGUGAAAUCCCCGGGCUCAACCUGGGAAUGGCAGUGGAUACUGGCAGCUAGAGUAUGGCAGAGGGGGGUAGAAUUCCACGUGUAGCAGUGAAAUGCGUAGAGAUGUGGAGGAAUACCGAUGGCGAAGGCAGCCCCCCUGGGCCAAUACUGACGCUCAUGCACGAAAGCGUGGGGAGCAAACAGG
rnacentral:rRNA from 1 species